rnacentral:rRNA from 1 species
UACGGAGGGUGCAAACGUUGCUCGGAAUCAUUGGGCGUAAAGCGCACGUAGGCGGCCUGAUAAGUCGGGUGUGAAAGCCCUGGGCUCAACCCAGGAAGUGCACUCGAAACUGUCAGGCUUGAAUAUGGAAGAGGGUCGCGGAAUUCCCGGUGUAGAGGUGAAAUUCGUAGAUAUGGGGAGGAACACCGGUGGCGAAGGCGGCCAUCUGGACGGAUACUGACGCUGAGACGCGAAAGCGCGGGGAGCAAACAGG